GUAAGGGUGACCUGCGGAA
rnacentral:rRNA from 1 species